rnacentral:tRNA from 1 species
UGGGCCGUAGCUCAGCUGGGAGAGCACCUGCUUUGCAAGCAGGGGGUCGUCGGUUCGAUCCCGUCCGGCUCCACCA